AUGGUUAGAAAAUGUCAUGUCAUUUAUUUUUCACAACAGGCCUGUGAAGUGGUUGCUGCUAUUCUGACCACGUUGUACAUCAAAGGCUGGGCACGAAGAAGCUGUACAGAGUCCGUUGGGAUUGAUGGCUGGGAUGUAACAAAAACGAAACUUGCCAAGACUUUGUAGUGGCUUUGCCUAUAAAAGCAGCAAUCCACCAACGCCUUGUUAUGGAGUACCUGAUUAUCAUUAUGACAGAAAUGUGGAGCCCAAAGAUCUUACUUUAAUGAGCCUUUCUCAUUUGGAGAACUUACUUUGGCUUGGGUUUGUCCAAAAAUACUUUGCUCUUUUAAGACCACAGUACCUAAUUUAGCAGCUCAUUAUACUUUACUGCAAAUGACACUGUGUUCUUAUGUCUAUAUGUUAUUUCAGUUAGUACUUGAUCUCCUACACAUUUGACUUGCAUGAGUUUUCUAAUAUUUCCUUAGACACACAAUAUUAUCUGUAUGACACAUUUAGGUAACUUUUGGUAACAGAUUCAGUUAAGCAUCAUGGUGUAGCUCUCUUACAAUCAAGGUCAAACACUGGCUCAUAGGUUUUCAUAUCAUAGUAAAAAUCUAAAAGAAAAUUUCAUUUUUCCUUCUCUCUCACUUCUCUUCUCCUAAUCACCCUAUCUAUAAAUUGUAAUUUUAUCAAGCCUAUCACAAAAAAAGUGCAAAAUAAUCAAUUGUAUAUUUGUAUAUCAAGGGAAUAUUGUCUGGAAUUAUUUUUGGCAAAGGAAGGAAUGUUAAAUUAUCCACCAAAACUAGCUGAUAUGGGAAAAUGCGGAUAUUACCUAUUCUCCAAUUACUAUCAGCUUUGGUACUUUUUUCUGUGUGUGCAUCUGUGUAUAAUGGGGGGUGGGGGUGGAGGGUGUCAAGAAAGAGAGAGAUAAUCUUGUUGCAGAGAAAAAUAAUUUUCACCUGAAACACAUACAAAUAAGAGGUUACCCUCUCAAGUAAUCCAAGAUUACUUAAAAGUUUAGUAACCCAUCUGGUUUUAUUGCAUGAUGCUCUGGUUUAAUUGCCAGGUUGUUCACUUUUGACAUCACUGCCAGAAAGUUUAGACUAAAAUUUCUGGCUCACACCCAUAUUAAAUGUGUUGCUCAUUAUAGUUUGAAGAAUUAGCCUUAUUUAUGUUUCUAUCUCAGAUCCACUCUUUUACAGUUUUUAUUUCUUUGUCCACAUUUAACCUAGGCUACUUUAUGAUAUUUUAUUGAGCUGUACAAGUCGCUUAAUAAGCCUUCUGAAAUUCUUUCUAGAACAAGGUGGAAUAUAAUACAUAGACAGUCAAUGUGAAGAUUCUGAAAUCCUGAGUAAUUAUCCCAUAUACCAACUUCAUCCUUUUUA
rnacentral:lncRNA from 1 species